GCGGCCAGUGAAGGAGACAGCUUCAGUGAGCAGCAGCCUGUGAGUGUGCAUUUCCAAGGAAUCCAAACAACUCUGUGGCAGCCAGGAAGUCCACUCGCAAUGGCUCUAACCAUUCCCUUCAAGAAAGCCCAACACUCACGGAGCAAAACUGGACCCACGUAUGGAAAUGAGUCUGUCAUGAAUACCAGGCUUCAGUACAUGCACUCCUUGGAGCCAUGGAUUGGAUUUCUCAUUACUGUUCACUAUGAAACUUGGUAAAAACAACCAUGACCAUGAUGGAAUGUUGUGAAAACUGAUCAUACAAACUGGGUCAUUCUUGUGACAUCAAACUAACCCAGAGUAUAGAAGCCAGGAGGGAAGAGCACUCAGGGCACAUAACAUUGCUCCAAGAAUGUCACUCUCUGUAAGCCUGGCUGCUGAAACUGCCUGCUGUCAUCUGAAACCAGUUUUACCUAAUGGCUACUGAAACAACGUGCUGUGAUUCUAAGAACAGUUUUACCCACCACUUUCACCACUUGCCACUCAGAGCAUGUCAGCCCCCCAGAAACUUACCAGUGCCAAUGAAUUUUCUGGAAAAACAAUGCACACCACUUCUCCUUUUAAUAAAACUUCCAACCUUCU